UUAUGUUCGUCUACCCUGUAGAUCGAGCUGUGUGUUUUGAAGAAGUCAUACACAAGCUAGACUGCAAGGUGAACGACUUUAUUG
rfam:Caenorhabditis tropicalis strain JT1373 unplaced genomic scaffold Scaffold531, whole genome shotgun sequence.